UUAAAUUGAAGAGUUUGAUCAUGGCUCAGAUUGAACGCUGGCGGCAGGCCUAACACAUGCAAGUCGAACGGUAACAGGAAGCAGCUUGCUGCUUUGCUGACGAGUGGCGGACGGGUGAGUAAUGUCUGGGAAACUGCCUGAUGGAGGGGGAUAACUACUGGAAACGGUGGCUAAUACCGCAUAACGUCGCAAGACCAAAGAGGGGGACCU
rnacentral:rRNA from 1 species